rnacentral:rRNA from 1 species
GACGAACCGUGCGAACGUUGUUCGGAAUCACUGGGCUUAAAGGGCGCGUAGGCGGUCUAUCAAGUCAGGGGUGAAAGCCUCCAGCUUAACUGGAGAAGUGCCUUUGAUACUGGCGGGCUCGAGUGGGGUAGGGGCGACUGGAACUUCCGGUGGAGCGGUGAAAUGCGUAGAUAUCGGAAGGAACGCCGGUGGCGAAAGCGAGUCGCUGGACCCCUCCUGACGCUGAGGCGCGAAAGCCAGGGGAGCGAACGGG